GGCGGAGAGAAGCUCAUCGGUGGGGCUACGUGCUGAGUGCAUUCAGUCACUCUACCC
rnacentral:lncRNA from 1 species